rnacentral:rRNA from 1 species
GUGGUUUUGGAUGGACUCGCGGCCUAUCAGCUUGUUGGUGAGGUAAUGGCUCACCAAGGCGACGACGGGUAGCCGGCCUGAGAGGGUGACCGGCCACACUGGGACUGAGACACGGCCCAGACUCCUACGGGAGGCAGCAGUGGGGAAUAUUGCACAAUGGGCGCAAGCCUGAUGCAGCGACGCCGCGUGAGGGAUGACGGCCUUCGGGUUGUAAACCUCUUUCAGUAGGGAAGAAGCGAAAGU